CCUACGGGCGGCAGCAGUGGGGGAUAUUGGACAAUGGGGGGAACCCUGAUCCAGCGACGCCGCGUGAGUGAAGAAGUAUUUCGGUAUGUAAAGCUCUGUCAGCAGGGAAGAAAGCAAUGACGGUACCUGACCAAGAAGCCCCGGCUAACUACGUGCCAGCAGCCGCGGUAAUACGUAGGGGGCAAGCGUUAUCCGGAAUUACUGGGGGUAAAGGGAGCGUAGACGGCUGUGCAAGUCUGGAGUGAAAGGCGGGGGCUCAACCCCCGGACUGCUCUGGAAACUGUAUGGCUGGAGUGCAGGAGAGGUAAGCGGAAUUCCUAGUGUAGCGGUGAAAUGCGUAGAUAUUAGGAGGAACACCAGUGGCGAAGGCGGCUUACUGGACUGUAACUGACGUUGAGGCUCGAAAGCGUGGGGAGCAAACAGGAUUAGAUACCCGUC
rnacentral:rRNA from 1 species